rnacentral:ncRNA from 1 species
CGGGAUGGAAGAUGGCGAGAAAAGCUGUGUGUAUUUCUGCGGUGCCCGUACCGCAAACCGACACAGGUAGGUAGGAAGAAGAUUCUAAGGCCAACGGGAGAAGGGUUGUUAAGGAACUCGGCAAAUUGACCCCGUAACUUCGGGAGAAGGGGUGCUGCAGCAAUGCAGCCGCAGAGAAUCGGCCCAAGCAACUGUUUACCAAAAACACAGGUUUGUGCUAAAUCGAAAGAUGACGUAUACGAGCUGACGCCUGCCCGGUGCUGGAAGGUUAAGAGGAGAUGUGCAAGCAUUGAAUCGAAGCCCCAGUGAACGGCGGCCGUAACUAUAACGGUCCUAAGGUAGCGAAAUUCCUUGUCAGGUAAGUUCUGACCCGCAUGAAAGGCGUAAUGAUUUGGGCACUGUCUCAACAGCCCGCCCGGCGAAAUUGUAGUACCGGUGAAGAUGCCGGUUACCCGCGACAAGACGGAAAGACCCCAUGGAGCUUUACUGUAGCCUAAUAUUGGGUUUCGAUGUUGCAUGCACAGGAUAGAUGGGACACUGGGAAGCAGGUGCUUUGGCGCUUGUGGAGUGGCCGUUGGGAUACCAUCCUUGCGAUAUUGGAAUUCUAACCUGCGCCUUUGAAUCAAGGCGGGGGACAUUGUUAGGUGGGCAGUUUGACUGGGGCGGUCGCCUCCUAAAGAGUAACGGAGGCGUUCAAAGGUUCGCUCAGCUUGAACGGAAAUCAAGCAAAAGAGUGCAAACGCAGAAGCGAGCCUAACUGCGAGACUGACGGGUCGAGCAGUAACGAAAGUUGGAGUUAGUGAUCCGGUGGUAUGUGAGUGGAAAUGCCAUCGCUCAACGGAUAAAAGUUACCCUGGGGAUAACAGGCUGAUCUCCCCCAAGAGUCCACAUCGACGGGGAGGUUUGGCACCUCGAUGUCGGCUCAUCGCAUCCUGGGGCUGUAUUCGGUCCCAAGGGUUUGGCUGUUCGCCAAUUAAAGCGGUACGCGAGCUGGGUUCAGAACGUCGUGAGACAGUUCGGUCCCUAUCUGUCGUGGGCGCAGGAUAUUUGAUGGGAGCUGUUCCUAGUACGAGAGGACCGGAGCGGACGUACCUCUGGCGCACCAGUUGUUCUGCCAAGAGCAUAGCUGGGCAACUAUGUACGGAUCGGAUAAACGCUGAAAGCAUCUAAGCGUGAAGCCGACCCAAAGAUAAGAUAUCCCAUUGUUUCAAACAAGUAAGACCCCUUGAAGACUACAAGGUUGAUAGGCACGAUGUGUAAGUGGAGUGAUCCAUUCAGCAAGCGUGUACUAAUAGGUCGAGGGCUUGACCAC